rnacentral:rRNA from 1 species
GACGAACGCUGGCGGCGUGCUUAACACAUGCAAGUCGAACGGAAAGGCCCUGCUUUUGUGGGGUGCUCGAGUGGCGCACGGGUGAGUAACACGUGAGUAACCUGCCCUUGACUUUGGGAUAACUUCAGGAAACUGGGGCUCAUACCGGAUAGGAGCUCCUGCUGCAUGGUGGGGUUGGAAAGUUUCGGCGGUUGGGGAUGGACUCGCGGCUUAUCAGCUUGUUGGUGGGGUAGUGGCUUACCACGGCUUUGCCGGGUAGCCGGCCUGAGAGGGUGACCGGCCACAGUGGGACUGAGAUACGGCCCAGACGCCUACGGGAGGCAGCAGUGGGGAAUAUUGCACAAUGGGCGGAAGCCUGAUGCAGCAACGCCGCGUGCGGGAUGACGGCCUUCGGGUUGUAAACCGCUUUCGCCUGUGACGAAGCGUGAGUGACGGUAAUGGGUAAAGAAGCACCGGCUAACUACGUG